ensembl:lincRNA
GGGCUGGAGGGACGGGCAGACAGGGCCCGGCUGCCUGGUCACUGACUCGUGCCUCCUGUCUCCUCUACCAGGCCUGUCUUCUUCAGAACCCGGGCUGGCACAAGAGUGGAACGCGGUGGAGGGAGAUGAGUCCGAGGACUCGCAGGUUCCUCCUGCCUCGGAACCCUGGGGGGCGGCCUCGAGCAAGAGUCCUUCCAUCCCCGCCUCCGGAGCUACUACUGCCUGUCUUCACGUGUCCGCGAUGGGAUCUGAAAGAAAAGAAGAAAACCAAACAGGUUGGUCGUUUGUCCUGGGCUGGAAAAGGCUAAGUGCAGGGUCUCAGCCUCCACACUCCUGCCAGUUGGGGUCAGGUCGUUUUUUUUUUUGCGGGCAGUCCUGUGCGCCCCCCCCCUCACCCCCCCUGCCAUGUGAUUGCCAAAAGUGUCUCCAGACAUUUACACGUGUCCCCCCAGGGUCAAAAUGAUCCCUGAUUGAGAAUCACGGACUUAACGAACUGAAAACAAUUUUAAAAGGUCCUUCCAAAAAUAGGACUCUGGUAGCUCUUUUUUUUUUUUUUUUUAAAUAAAGAUUUUGUUUUAUUUAUUUGAGAGAGAGAGAGAGAGAGCACAAGUGGGAACGAGAUGGAGAAGCAAGCUUCAACAUGAGCAAGGAGCUGGAGGCAGGACUUGAUCUUAGCACCCUGGGAUCAACGACCUGAGCUGAAGGUAGAGGCUUAACUGACUGAGCCACCCAGGUGCCCCCUGACAGCCCUUAAAUAAAGCUUUGCAACCUGGU